UACGAAGGGGGCUAGCGUUGCUCGGAAUUACUGGGCGUAAAGGGCGCGUAGGCGGGUAUUUAAGUCAGAGGUCAAAUCCCAGGGCUCAACCCUGGAACUGCCUUUGAUACUGGGUACCUAGAGUGCGGGAGAGGUGUGUGGAACUCCGAGUGUAGAGGUGAAAUUCGUAGAUAUUCGGAAGAACACCAGUGGCGAAGGCGACACACUGGCCCGUUACUGACGCUGAUGCGCGAAAGCGUGGGGAGCAAACAGG
rnacentral:rRNA from 1 species